UCUAGUGGAUCCUGCUACUUCCUCUCAAAUCAUACUAUACUAAUACUAUUAUUUAAUCAUAUCAUUGAAUCAUUUAUUUCUCUUGAAAUCAUUUGUUACAUCACGUACAAAACUUAAUUAUAUACCACUUCUACAAAUGGCUCGUAAUAUGACUAGCAAUUGCCACUAAUCGUUAUAUCAUCACAUUAUAGUUUAUGCCUUAAUGGUAUAAACUAUAUUGUCAU
rnacentral:lncRNA from 1 species